rnacentral:rRNA from 1 species
AUUGAACGCUGGCGGCAGGCCUAACACAUGCAAGUCGAACGAGUGGCGGACGGGUGAGUCAUGUCUGGGAAACUGCCUGAUGGAGGGGGAUAACUACUGGAAACUGUAGAUAAUACCGCAUACCAUCGGAUGUGCCCAAAUGGGAUUAGGUAGUAGGUGGGGGAAAGGCUCACCUAGGCGACGAUCCCUAGCUGGUCUGCGAGGAUGACCAGCCACACUGUGACUGAGACACGGUCCAGACUCCUACGGGAGGCAGCAGUGGGGAAUAUUUCACAAUGGGCGCAAGCCUGAUGCAGCCAUGCCGCGUGUAUGAAUAAGGCCUUCGGGUUGUAAAGUACUUUCAGCGGGGAGGCGUUACCCGCAGAAGAAGCACCGGCUAACUCCGUGCCAGCAGCCGCGGUAAUAC